rnacentral:rRNA from 1 species
GUGCCAGCCGCCGCGGUAACACGUAGGAGCCAAGCGUUAUCCGAAUUCACUGGGCGUAAAGCGCGUGCAGGCGGCACGAUAAGUUGGAUGUGAAAGCUCCUGGCUCAACUGGGAGAGGACGUUCAAUACUGUCGAGCUAGAGGACGGCAGAGGGAGGUGGAAUUCCCGGUGUAGUGGUGAAAUGCGUAGAUAUCGGGAGGAACACCAGUGGCGAAGGCGGCCUUCUGGGCCGUUACUGACGCUCAGACGCGAAAGCUAGGGGAGCGAACGGGAUUAGAUACCCCCGUAGUCC